rnacentral:rRNA from 1 species
UACGUAGGGUGCAAGCGUUGUCCGGAAUUAUUGGGCGUAAAGAGCUCGUAGGCGGUUUGUCACGUCGGAUGUGAAAUCCCGGGGCUUAACCUCGGGUCUGCAUUCGAUACGGGCUGACUAGAGUUCGGUAGGGGAGACUGGAAUUCCUGGUGUAGCGGUGAAAUGCGCAGAUAUCGGGAGGAACACCGGUGGCGAAGGCGGUUCUCUGGGCCUUACCUGACGCUGAGGAGCGAAAGCGUGGGGAGCGAACAGG